UACGUAGGGGGCGAGCGUUGUCCGGAUUUAUUGGGCGUAAAAGGCUUGUAGGUGGCCACGGCAAGUCGGAUGUGAAAUCUCCCGGCUCAACUGGGAGGGGUCAUUCGAUACUGCCGGGCUCGAGGCCGGUAGGGGAAGCGGAAUUCCCGGUGUAGUGGUGGAAUGCGUAGAUAUCGGGAGGAACACCAGAGGCGAAGGCGGCU
rnacentral:rRNA from 1 species